rnacentral:rRNA from 1 species
UACGUAGGGUGCGAGCGUUAAUCGGAAUUACUGGGCGUAAAGCGUGCGCAGGCGGUUCGUUAAGUUCGAUGUGAAAGCCCCGGGCUCAACCUGGGAACUGCAUUGGAAACUGGCGAGCUUGAGUAUGGCAGAGGGGGGUGGAAUUCCGCGUGUAGCAGUGAAAUGCGUAGAGAUGCGGAGGAACACCGAUGGCGAAGGCGGCCCCCUGGGCCAAUACUGACGCUCAGGCACGAAAGCGUGGGGAGCAAACAGG